rnacentral:rRNA from 1 species
GACGAACGCUGGCGGCGUGCUUAACACAUGCAAGUCGAACGGAAAGGCCCUGCUUUUGUGGGGUGCUCGAGUGGAGAACGGGUGUGAAACACGUGUGUACCCUGCCCUUGAUUUUGGGAUCACUUCAGGACACUGGGGAUAAUACCGGAUAGGAGCCCCUGCUGCAGGGUGGGGGUUGGAAAGUUUCGGCGGUGGGGGAUGGACUCGCGGCUUCUCGGCUUGUGGGUGGGGUAGUGGCUUACCAAGGCUUUGGGGGUUAGCCGGCCUGAGAGGGUGACCGGCAACAUUGGGACUGGGAUACGGCCCGGACUCCUCCGGGAGGCAGCGGGGGGGAUUAUUGCACAAUGGGCGGAAGCCUGAGCCAGCAACGCCGCGGGCGGGAUGACGGCCUUCGGGUGGUAACCCGCUUUCGCCUGGGACGAAGCGUGAGUGACGGUAAUGGGUAAAGAAGCACCGGCUAACUACGUG